rnacentral:rRNA from 1 species
GACGAACGCUGGCGGCGUGCUUAACACAUGCAAGUCGAACGAAGCGGCGAACGGGUGAGUAACGCGUAAGAAACCUGCCCUUCAGAGGGGGACAACAGUUGGAAACGACUGCUAAUACCGCAUACUGAAGGAGGGGAUUGCGUCUGAUUAGCUAGUUGGCGGGGUAACGGCCCACCAAGGCGAUGAACACUAGCCUGUCUGGUAGGGUGAACGUCAACAUUGGGGCUGAGUCACGGCCCAGACUCCUGCGGGAGGCAGUAGUGGGGAAUCUUCCGCAAGGGACGAGAGUCUGACGGAGUAACGCCGCGUGAGUGAUGACGGCCAUAGGGGUGUAAAGCUCUGUUAAUCGGGUCGCGGUACCGGAAUAUAAAGCCACGGCUAACUACGUGCCAGCAGCCGCGGUAAUU